CACUCACUACUGUGACACCUGCAGACAGCAGGGUACGAAACCAGGAACCUGUUCCGCUGGAUUUCUUCACAUCCAGCCCCUCCCCCGCAGGCCGUGGCCUGGCAGCAAUGCCAGCCAGUCGUUUCAGGCACGCUCCCAAGCACGUGAGGAGGGUGGAGCUCCAGUCUCUGGGCUUCAGCAUGGAAAACAGGGGCAUCCGGAGGGCACAGCGCUGAACCAGGGCCGACCACCUCACUGUGAGGAAUCCCUUGUCGAUUACAUGGGUGAUUUUAGGACGUCUUGAGCAUUGAGUUAUUGUGUCAGAAGUCUGCUGCAGAGCUUCUCUGGGUAAAAGAUGCCUUCGGCAGGAAAAGCCAGCGUGCUCAUUAAUCUGCAGUAGUGCAGAGCUCAGCUCUCCUGUCCGUCUGCACCAGUCACACUCGCUGCCUUUGUAAUCUCACUUCUUAGCAGUGCAUUUCAACAUGGGCAUCCCUGCCGUGUCAGUUCAUAAUCCCAAACUGAACACAGGGGGAUUGCCACAAAGCAGAAGCACUGUGGUCCUUUGUGCUGUGAACAGCUACGCUGACACGUUCUUUGCAUGCCUUUUUCAAAUCUGUUAACCCAGGCACUCUACCACUCCCAAGUCCUGAGAGAGAUCUAUCAUUUGAAAAACAUGACUACUUUUGAUGCUUGACUAUAUAUACACAUUAGGGAAAUAUAUUCAGAAAAUAAAGAAAUGCUAAGUCUAAAGCGUCACUAUAAAUUAGAAUUUAAUAUAAUUCAGACUGGUGGAGUCAGGGGUUUAGCAAGUGGUUUGGUGAUGCCAUUCAGAAUUUGGUUCUUUAUCAGUAUACAUUUGCUGAAGAAUAAUCCCAUUUAUCACUCUACUGUACAUCUCUUUAUAUCUGUUUUGUCCUGUUAUGAAGGUAAUUUGGGGAUUGUAUUGUCAUUACUGCAUUUCAGUGGCUAGGAGUGAGAGAAAAGGGGCAAUGGAUAAUGUUAUAGAUACAUAGGAUCAAAUGUCAUUGGUUAUUAUCUGUUGUGGUCCAGUAAAUGCAUUGAAGGGGUUUAGGGUAUAAAUAGAAGCUUUUUGCCCUAUGGCUGCUUUUCUGUUUCUGUUUGUGAGGUUGUGUCAGCAAUGCUGACCCUUGUGUCGUACCAGACGGGAGGGAGAGGGCUUGAGUAAUUAGCACUUCAGCUGGUGGGAUAUGAAGUUCUCAGUUAAAAAAAUAUAAUUUAUUUUGUUGUGAUCAAUUUACUGUUACUUACCUUGUUUGCAAAUAUCAUGGCAGUGAAAGCUCUAUCAGGGGAAUAUUUCACAAAGCGGGGUCAUUAAUCGGGAUACAGUGUUUCCUUUACCACACUGAAAAUGAAUGCCUUUCUGAUCCUGCGAUACUCUGGUUUCCACAGGGUCAUAGCAGAGCAGAAAACUCCAGGGCAGCUCACAGAACCACAUUUUUCUCUCACCUGUUUCAACAGCGACCUCACAGGAGAUGCUGGAUGCAUUUCACAGAACACCAGAGGGUAUGCUUAGGUUCAGUUUGUAGUAUGGGUGGGGUCCUUGGAAUGAAAGCUACACAACCAGAUCUAAUCAGGAACAUCCAUGCAAAAAGAGCUCCCCAAAAUGGGAUAAGCAGUCUGCUUGUGAAGAAAUGGUGCAUAACUCCUAGUCUCCUGAACACAGCUGUCAGGAAUUAUGACUGCACCGAAAUAAUAACGGCAUGUCACAGUUUUCAUUCAGGAAACAGAGUGUUUUGCAUUUAUUUUAGCAGCCCUGAAGUGUUUUGUAACAUAACAAACCUGUUUGCAAGUGUCACCUUUCAUGGAACUCCUUCCAAUCCCCUCCUUUUCCAAGCUGUAAUCCUUCAUUUUUCAUAUUAAAAAUGACAUAUUUGAUACCUUUUCA